GUCCUCAAAAUUUUAAUCCGAUCUAAGCAAUAUUCUUGAAGUUAUUGUUUAAUUAGUCUCGGGGCCUUUAACGCUCUAACUCUAACAGCUACGGGCGGUUGGGAUUGCAGUGCAGCUGUCGAGCAGGUAUACAGGUUAUUCAUUGCUAUUGUCCUGAUCCCAUAUCCAGUUUUAGAAAUAUUUCAUUUAGUAAAGCCAGCAUCGAAACGACUGCUGAGAAAUUUCUUGUCUCCGCCGCAGACGAAGAAAAACAGCUAACACGUGCAAAUUCGGAGUCAGACACUUUGACCGUUUCUGGUGACGGCACGUGGCAGAAGCAAGGCUUUAGCUCUUCCUUUGGCGUCACUUCCUUGAUUGGAUAUUGGUCUGGAAAAGUUAUCGAUAUUUUCAUUGGUACGAAGAACAUGUUGGAAAAGAUGAAUGCCAAGCAAAUCACACCGGACCAUCAGGUAACAUGGAAGUAAAUGCUGUCAUCGAACUGUUUCGCCGAUCAGAAGAAAAAUACGGAGCGAAAAUCAGCAACUAUAUUGGAGACGGAGAUAGUAAAACUUACGGCAAUUUAGUAAAAGCUAAACCUUAUGGUGAAAAUUUUAUUAUACAUAAAAAAGAAUGUGUAGGUCACGUGCAAAAAAGAAUGGGUAAACGUCUACGUGAUCUAGUAAAUAAAACUGUUGAACAUAAAGUUGUAAAAACCGGAAAAAAUGCUGGUAAAACAAGACAAAGUAAAUUACUCGGU